CACGUAGGGCGCGAGCGUUGUCCGGAAUUAUUGGGCGUAAAGAGCUCGUAGGCGGCCUGUUGCGUCCGCUGUGAAAGCCCGGGGCUUAACCCCGGGUCUGCAGUGGAUACGGGCAGGCUAGAGGUAGGUAGGGGAGAAUGGAAUUCCCGGUGUAGCGGUGAAAUGCGCAGAUAUCGGGAGGAACACCGGUGGCGAAGGCGGUUCUCUGGGCCUGUGCUGACGCUGAGGAGCGAAAGCGUGGGGAGCAAACAGG
rnacentral:rRNA from 1 species